UAAAAGGGUAAUUCAAAAAAUCUGAAACCAAAAGAUGAAACUGCCAUUGAUGACUUACCGAGCUUUGGAGGCAAGGGAAGAAGCAAAUCGGUACAUGGUGUUGAUGGAAGUGAGAAAAUUGAAUUGAAGAGUGAAGAAAUUGCAGAAAGUGUGUGUUUUUGUUGAAUGAAGAAUGCUGCAGAGUUUAUUUUUGAAGGGAAAAGAGAAGUUUCUAGAAGAAGCAGCUUCUAGGGUUUAGGGUUUUGUGUUUCUAACGUUGUUGUUUUGUUAUUCUUAUUUUUUACCCUAAUUGUUUUGAUGUUCUCACUUCUGACCCUUUUUUUUAUUUCCAUUUUUGGCAUUGUUCGAUCAGGU
rnacentral:lncRNA from 1 species